GCCUGAAUAGCUCAGUUGGUAGAGCACGGUGAUGUGCUCGAUAUCCUGGUCCAAAAGGUUUUGGGUUCGAUUCCCACCUCAGCCA
rnacentral:tRNA from 1 species